GACAAAGGGAGAGCGAGAUAUAUACCGUCCUUCAGCAAUCAACAAAUUCAUUUCCAAGUCUAAUAAUCAAGCAAAAUGGGGUCCUUGGGAGCAGUAAUUUCAUUAGGACCUUGGGGAGGUCCUGGUGGCGACAAUUGGAGUUUCAAGGCAAGCCGAGGGAUAACACAGAUAAUCGUCCAUGAAGAUGUUGUUAUAAAAUCAAUUUUUUUCAAAGACGCCAAUGGUUAUGUUCUGGAAAAUUCGGCAGUGCUGGGGGUCAAGAGAGGAAGACUGAAAUUCGUUGGCCUUCAGAGUAUUUGAAAUCCAUAAGCGGGACCUAUGGAAAUCACACUGGAAAUCUAGUAAUUAGGUCCCUAUCGUUGAUCACAAAUCUCACCACUUAUGGACCUUUUGGAACAACUGCUGGUGGCGAGCCUUUCUCUAUCCCAAUAGCAGAUAGUGUCAUUGUUGGGUUCCAUGGGAGAGCUGGUUUUUUCCUGGAUGCAAUUGG